GUGCUUGCUUGGGCAGCACAUAUACUAAAAUUGGGAAAAUACAAAAAAGAUAUGUAGUAUGGCACCUGUGACAUGGAAAUUUGUGAAGUGUUCCAUAUUUUG